AAGUCGUAACAAGGUCUCCGUAGGUGAACCUGCGGAGGGAUCAUUACACAACAAAAUAUGAAGGCCCUGGCUUCGCGGCCGGCUGAAAUAUUUUUUCACCCAUGUCUUUUGCGCACUUGUUGUUUCCUGGGCGGGUUUGCCCGCCACCAGGACCAAACCAUAAACCUUUUUUUUUAUGCAGUUACCAUCAGCGUCAGUAAAAACAAUGUAAUUAAUUACAACUUUCAACAACGGAUCUCUUGGUUCUG
rnacentral:misc_RNA from 1 species